rnacentral:rRNA from 1 species
AUUGAACGCUGGCGGCAUGCCUUACACAUGCAAGUCGAACGGCAGCACGGGAGCAAUCCUGGUGGCGAGUGGCGAACGGGUGAGUAAUAUAUCGGAACGUGCCCAGUCGUGGGGGAUAACGUAGCGAAAGCUACGCUAAUACCGCAUACGAUCUAUGGAUGAAAGCGGGGGAUCGCAAGACCUCGCGCGAUUGGAGCGGCCGAUAUCAGAUUAGGUAGUUGGUGAGGUAAAGGCUCACCAAGCCGACGAUCUGUAGCUGGUCUGAGAGGACGACCAGCCACACUGGGACUGAGACACGGCCCAGACUCCUACGGGAGGCAGCAGUGGGGAAUUUUGGACAAUGGCGCAAGCCUGAUCCAGCAAUGCCGCGUGCAGGAUGAAGGCCUUCGGUUGGUUAAC